ncrna:Nostoc sp. PCC 7120 Fluoride riboswitch
AUUACUAAUGGCGAUGGAGUUCGCCAAAACCGCUAUUCUAGUCAAAAAAUUAAUCUAGAAGGCUGAUGACUCCUACUUUUCU